AGCAGCCGCGGUAAUUCCAGCUCCAAUAGCGUAUAUUAAAGUUGUUGCAGUUAAAAGCUCGUAGUUGAACUUCGGGGUUUACCCAUUGGUCAGGCUUAAUUGUCUGUACUGGUGAGAUAAAUCUCUACCUUCUGAGGAACUUUCAUGCCAUUUAUUUGGUGUGGGAGGAAAUCAGGACUGUUACUUUGAAAAAUUAGAGUGUUUAAAGCAGGCUAACGUCUGAAUACAUUAGCAUGGAAUAAUGAAAUAGGACGGACUGAUUCUAUUUCGUUGGUUUCUAGGAUCACCGUAAUGAUUAAUAGGGAUAGUUGGGGGCAUUAGUAUUCGAUUGUCAGAGGUGAAAUUCUUGGAUUUAUUGAAGACUAACUACUGCGAAAGCAUUUGCCAAGGAUGUUUUCAUUAAUCAAGAACGA
rnacentral:rRNA from 1 species